AAUCAACGCUGGCGGCGUGCCUAACACAUGCAAGUCGAACGCGAAAGCCCCGCAAGGGGUAAGUAGAGUGGCAAACGGGUGAGUAACACGUGGGUGACCUGCCUUCGAGUGGGGGAUAACGUCCCGAAAGGGACGCUAAUACCGCAUGACAUCCUGCUUUUGAAAAAGCGGAGAUCAAAGCUGGGGAUCGCAAGACCUAGCGCUUGAAGAGGGGCCCGCGCCUGAUUAGCUAGUUGGUGGGGUAACGGCUCACCAAGGCGACGAUCAGUAUCCGGCCUGAGGGGGCGGAGGGACACACUGGAACUGAGACACGUCCCAGACUCCGAGGGGAGGCACCAGUGGGGAAUUGGUCGAAAGGGGCGCAAGCCUGCCGACGCAACGCCGCGGGGAGGACGAAGAUCUUCGGGUCGUAAACUCCUGUCGAGGGGGACGAACGCUUCGCGGAUGAAUAAUCCGCGGAAUUGGCGGUACCGCAAAAGGAAGCCCCGGCUAACUCCG
rnacentral:rRNA from 1 species